ACGUGACCCUUCUGCGACGAGCUUAAGGAAGGAAGCCGCGGGAGGAGGCUCUCAGAGCAGAGAGAAAGAAAAGUUGUGUCAAGCAGAACUUUUUCUCAUUAAUAACACUGAGACCAUUCUUAAACUCCACCUUCUCUGGCGACACUACACACGGCUAUACUUCAUCUUCUCUCCACAUCCCUAAAGAAAUGAGAGACUCAGAAAGACACCCUGAGGUCUUAGAAUUUGCUUCCUACUGAUCAUGAACCAUCCUAAGGCUUGCUACAUCAUCUGCAAGAUGCAGGUCCUCAUGUGGCCCACCAGAGGGAACUGCAGACACAAGUAAACUGAAGAUGUCGGUGUUCACAAGACCCGUGCGUGAUGCUGGAGAUGGAACCUAACUCUGCACAAAUGUCAGUCAAAUGCUUGGACACUGAACUUACAUAGUUCCUCAGCUCUUCAGGAUCAGUUUGUAUUAAACGAAAUUGAUGCCCGAGCUGCUGCGGGUCAGAAAUACCAGCUCGGCUGUAUGGCGAUCUCACUCUGGUUGAGUGUUCUUUCUCGAAGCCUCAGUUCCAGGCAUUCCACGGUCUCUGUGACUGCUCCUCUCCAAAUCAUUUCCCUCCAUAUUCUGAAGCCACCAUCUUGGCCCACGCUGCUUCUGUCUUACUGUCUGGACAGCGCUUAAAGGGAGGCUCCUCUUGUAAUGUGGGCGUCAGGAAGAUUCUGUUAAUACAUGGAAGGAGAGGUUCUACUCCAUUGAGACCGUCUACCACUGGCAUUUACGACUCCCUGCCCUGGUCACUCUGCUCUUCUGGACUCUUCCUCGCCCUACUUUAACCCUGGAUCAACCACUUCAGACACACCAUCUCCCCUGCCAGUCCCAAGCACAGCAGGCUGGCUCUCUCUGAUAGUCCCCAGAGGUUCGAACUUCUCGAACUUCUCCUGUAACCCUCUUCUCUCCCAGAGACACACAGCCCAGCCCCGGUCGCCACCUCAAGGUCAUGUUCUCAGAAAGACCUAUGUAAUGGCUAUUCCUGUUUGUCAACUUGACUCUAUCUGGAAUGACCUACAAUCCAGAAUUGGAGGGCUCACCUGUGAUCCAGAUCUUGAGGCUGGAAGACACAAGUUUCUGACCUCAAUCUUAGCAUGGAGAUCUUGAGGCACAGUGGCCAUGAAAAGCUUAGGUCCAGGCAAGGUUGUAUAUGUCUUUAAUCUCAGGAGACUUGAGACAAGGAGAUCUCUGAGUUUAAGGUCAGCCUGGGACAAAGCAAGUCCCAGAUCCAGGCAUGGUGGUAACACACCUUUAAUCUGGGCCACACCUUCUGCUGGAGGCCUACAUAAAGACAUUGGAAGGAGGAAGAUUCCCUCUUCUUAGCACUUAGCUGCCAGCACAUCUGUUGGAACCUUCUUCUACAGAUGACCAGCUGAAACAACUAGCUGGUGGGACUGAGAACUACAAAAUUCUUGGACUUCCCAUUCACAGCUGAGCAUUAUGGGACUACAGACUGUAAGUCCUCACAAUACAUCCCCUUCAUAUAGAGAGACAUUCCCUAAGCACUGUGACCUAGAGAACCCUGACUAAUGCAGCCUACCCAACUGCCCUCCCUCACUCAUUUGUGUUUUAGGAUUUGUCGUCAAUUGAUGAGUGUGCAUGUGUGUAUAUGUACACGUGUAAACACACACAGAGCGCAUGCAUAGAUGUAUGCAUCAUAUAGAUAACAUACAUAUAAAUAUUAUACAAUUAUAGAUAAUCUUUACAAAGUUAUAGUUUCAUUUAUGCAUUAAUUUUUGUUUCAUAAAUACAUAUUAAAAUGUGUAAGGCUAUACAUG
ensembl:processed_transcript A730081D07Rik RIKEN cDNA A730081D07 gene